AUCCGGAGCCAAGGUCCGCUCGGUAUCUUAAAUAGUGAAGAUGGAGAAAUAGUCAAUAAUGAAGAGCAUGAAUAUGCAUCCAAAAAAAGGAAAAAGGACCAUUUUAGAAAUGACACAAAUACUCAAAAGGCAUGGCUAUUGCACCUUGGGAGAAGCCUUUAAUCGGUUAGACUUCUCAAGUGCAAUUCAAGAUAUCCGAAGGUUCAAUUAUGUGGUCAAACUGCAGGACAAGUUCGAGCAUCUUAAAAUGAUUCAACAGGAGGAGAUAAGGAAGCUCGAGGAAGAGAAAAAACAACUGGAAGGAGAAAUCAUAGAUUUUUAUAAAAUGAAAGCUGCCUCUGAAGCACUGCAGACUCAGCUGAGCACCGAUACAAAGAAAGACAAACAUCCUGAUCCAUAUGAAUUCCUCUUAUUAAGAAAAAUAAAGCAUCCAGGAUUCAAUGAAGAACUGACUAUCACCUUGUUAAUCAUUCAGAAACAUGUUGCAGGCUUAAGCCAUUUUUGAUAUAGAUACUGAAACAAUUACUUGCUAAGAGCAAACUUGAAGGUAUGGAUAAGGCCCUGAGUCAUCUUCCUGAGCUGAAUGAUAGUUAAGCUGAAUGUACGUAUAAAAUAUGAUUUUCUAACCACUUGCUCGCCAACAAGGAAAACUUUUAAGUAGAGCAGAACCUGAAUAGACAAGACAUUUCUUUCUUUUGGUAGAAAAUGAUUUACCAUCACUGUGUAGUUAAUUGUAGACUAGGUAAUUUUAACUUUGUGAUUUAUUGCCGGAGACAUUUUCUUCUGUACUGUAAAGUGUGUGUCAAAAAAAAAAUAGCGAUUUUGGAGGAUUAGGGGACUUUGAUAAAUUGCCUGCAAUUCUGGCAGUAUGAACUGCAUAUUAAUUUCUCUCUUUCAAGAACAUUUUUAUUAAU
rnacentral:lncRNA from 1 species